rnacentral:rRNA from 1 species
CCUACGGGUGGCAGCAGUGGGGAAUCUUCCGCAAUGGACGAAAGUCUGACGGAGCAACGCCGCGUGAGUGAUGACGGCCUUCGGGUUGUAAAGCUCUGUUAAUCGGGACGAAAGGCCUUCUUGCGAAUAGUGAGAAGGAUUGACGGUACCGGAAUAGAAAGCCACGGCUAACUACGUGCCAGCAGCCGCGGUAAUACGUAGGUGGCAAGCGUUGUCCGGAAUUAUUGGGCGUAAAGCGCGCGCAGGCGGAUAGGUCAGUCUGUCUUAAAAGUUCGGGGCUUAACCCCGUGAUGGGAUGGAAACUGCCAAUCUAGAGUAUCGGAGAGGAAAGUGGAAUUCCUAGUGUAGCGGUGAAAUGCGUAGAUAUUAGGAAGAACACCAGUGGCGAAGGCGACUUUCUGGACGAAAACUGACGCUGAGGCGCGAAAGCCAGGGGAGCGAACGGGAUUAGAUACCCCAGUAGUC